rnacentral:rRNA from 1 species
GACGAACGCUGGCGGCGUGCUUAACACAUGCGAGUCGAACGGAAAGGCCCUGCUUUUGUGGGGUGCUCGAGUGGCGAACGGGUGAGUAACACGUGAGUAACCUGCCCUUGACUUUGGGAUAACUUCAGGAAACUGGGGCUAAUACCGGAUAGGAGCUCCUGCUGCAUGGUGGGGGUUGGAAAGUUUCGGCGGUUGGGGAUGGACUCGCGGCUUAUCAGCUUGUUGGUGGGGUAGUGGCUUACCAAGGCUUUGACGGGUAGCCGGCCUGAGAGGGUGACCGGCCACAUUGGGACUGAUGUACGGCCCAGACUCCUACGGGAGGCAGCAGUGGGGAAUAUUGCACAAUGGGCGGAAGCCUGAUGCAGCAACGCCGCGUGCGGGAUGACGGCCUUCGGGUUGUAAACCGCUUUCGCCUGUGACGAAGCGUGAGUGACGGUAAUGGGUAAAGAAGCACCGGCUAACUACGUG